CUUUAAAUUUUUAUACAUACAUUUUUUUAAGUACAAUUUUAAAACAUUGCCUUGCAUCUUAAUGGAGAUACUUUUGUCGCUUUUUGUCUCAAUUUCCUGCAUAGUUUAAAUUUAAGGCAACUGGGAAGUGCAAAGCUUUUAUUUUGAAAUUGUUUUAAAUGAAUAAAAAAAGUCUUUACAUUUUUAUACAUACAUUUUUUUUAAGUACAAUUUUAAAACAUUGCUUUGCAUCUUAAUGGAGAUACUUUUGUCGCUUUUUGUCUCAACUUCCUGCAUAGUUUAAAUUUAAGGCAACUGGGAAGUGCAAAGCUUUUAUUUUGAAAUUGUUUUAAAUUAAUAAAAAAAAUUGAAUAAAAAAAAAAAUGAAAACCCAAAUACCAAACAGAAAUAUUCAGUCAUAACUGACAGUGACAGUCAUGUUUACUUUUAAAAAAAAACUGACAUUAUUAUUAACCAACCAUUAAUAUUGGACCAAGCCUGACAGUUGGAGGUAGACUGGAGCGCUGCUAGACGAACAACGACCUGGAUGGUCAGAGGUGCCAGUGCUGAGCUCCCUCUGGCAAUCUUGUACAAUGGCCGCUAGCUCGCCUCCCUCCCACCAGCCCAGCAGCCCUCCAGUCUCCCUCGUGCGGUGCCACCCAGCACAGAGGCACACUGCCAGACUUGAUCCAACAGUGCGAUUGUCGCUCACCGCAGAUGCUGGAUCCUGCAGCGAAGGAGCUGCAGCAGGACUGCACCAACUCACGGGCCGGACCAUUUGUUUUUUCUUGAGUUUGCGCAUGCAUGAUGAACCUUUACCUCUGCAAAGACAAUAGCAGUCAAAUAAAGACGUGUAUUUCAUCA